CUAAUGGCUAUCCUGUAAGAACAAACUACGGAUUUAUAUGAAUUCAGCACCCCCGGGAUAUGGUUUUGGGGUUUUCACCACAAGAGCAAAUUAUACAACUUUAUUCUUGAAAAUGUUAGAGACUGAGACUUGGAGUCAAAGUCAACAGACACGCUUGCAUGGACAUGAAGGAUGUAAAGAACUAGAGUAUUAUAACUGAAAGCAUUUUGUCUGGAUUUGUGUAUGGAAACAGAAGGAUUUAGUAUUGGUAUCCUGAAUUUUUGUCAACUUCUAGCCAAGAUCCUGUACUUAGCUGAAUGUGGAG